GGGCCGCGCCGGUGCCAUGGCGACGCGGCGGGAGGAGGCCGCCGGGGCCGGUUGGGAGCGGGGCAGAACGUUUUGGUGAGGAGAACUGGAUCUUAGGCUGUGAGAGGGAAACAAGGGCGAUGUCUGCUCCCCUCACGGUCUCGCUGAAGAAGAGACGAAAGCAUUAGAAGUAUGGAUCCAAGCUUACUGAGAGAGUGAGAGCUGUUCAAAAAACUAUGGAUCUCCGCUGAGAAGAAUGUCUCAGGAUGAUCAGUGUUGACAAGCUGCCCUGGAAACAAAAUAUAUCAGCACCACCAGUCUACAGCCAGGAGAGAGGCUGCUGCAGUGCCACACCAUCAAGAGGUCCACAUCCUUCUUCCACUGAGAGCUCCAGAGAUGGACACAGCAUUGCAGGCAAGGUCUCAACAGAGCAGAGCAGAACAGUUAGCUUGCUGCAUAAGAAGUGUUGCUGAACAGCUUCAGAAAGUCUAGACAACAUCUGCAGAUACUCAUCUCUCCAAAAAGAAGGUAAUUUGCCUUGUAAAUCAGCCUGAGAGAACAUAACCCCUUGCAUCAGUCUUCAGGGAAGAAAGCUUACCUGGACCUGCAAUUAUCACAGCAUUCUUCUGUGCCCAUGAUGCCAGAGGAAACCUUUCGGAGUUGUUUGUCUUCAAAAUGAGACAGGAUUAUUCUACCCAAGGGAACAGAGGGAAUUAAAUAAAAGAGCAAGAAUUUACACAUUAAAUUCACUGCAGAAAACA